rnacentral:rRNA from 1 species
AUUGAACGCUGGCGGCAGGCCUAACACAUGCAAGUCGAACGGUAACAGGAAGAAGCUUGCUUCUUUGCUGACGAGUGGCGGACGGGUGAGUAAUGUCUGGGAAACUGCCUGAUGGAGGGGGAUAACUACUGGAAACGGUAGCUAAUACCGCAUAACGUCGCAAGACCAAAGAGGGGGACCUUCGGGCCUCUUGCCAUCGGAUGUGCCCAGAUGGGAUUAGCUAGUAGGUGGGGUAACGGCCCACCUAGGCGACGAUCCCUAGCUGGUCUGAGAGGAUGACCAGCCACACUGGAACUGAGACACGGUCCAGACUCCUACGGGAGGCAGCAGUGGGGAAUAUUGCACAAUGGGCGCAAGCCUGAUGCAGCCAUGCCGCGUGUAUGAAGAAGGCCUUCGGGUUGUAAAGUACUUUCAGCGGGGAGGAAGGGAGUAAAGUUAAUACCUUUGCUCAUUGACGUUACCCGCAGAAGAAGCACCGGCUAACUCCGU